rnacentral:rRNA from 1 species
CUUUCGAUGGUAGGAUAGAGGCCUACCAUGGUGGUAACGGGUAACGGGGUGUUAGGGCACGACACCGGAGAGGGAGCCUGAGAAACGGCUACCACAUCCAAGGAUGGCAGCAGGCGCGCAAAUUACCCAAUCCCGACACGGGGAGGUAGUGACAAUAAAUAACAAUACGGGGUUCUUUCGGAUUUCGUAAUUGGAAUGAGUACAAUUUAAAUCUCUUAACGAGGAACAAUUGGAGGGCAAGUCUGGUGCCAGCAGCCGCGGUAAUUCCAGCUCCAAUAGCGUAUAUUAAAGUUGCUGCAGUUAAAAAGCUCGUAGUUGAAUUUCGGGACCAAUAUGUCGGUCGUGCCUCGGUACGUACUGGCAUCGUUGGUUUCUCCCUUCUGACGAACCAUGAUGUCAUUUAUUUGGUGUCGUGGGGAAUCAGGACUGUUACUUUGAAAAAAUUAGAGUGUUUAAAGCAGGCUCACGCUUGAAUACAUUAGCAUGGAAUAAUGAAAUAGGACGUUUGAUUCUAUUUUGUUGGUUUCUAGGAUCGACGUAAUGAUUAAUAGGGAUAGUUGGGGGCAUUAGUAUUCAAUUGUCAGAGGUGAAAUUCUUGGAUUUAUUGAAGACUAACUACUGCGAAAGCAUUUGCCAAGGAUGUUUUCAUUAAUCAAGAACGAAAGUUAGGGGAUCGAAGACGAUCAGAUACCGUCGUAGUCUUAACCAUAAACUAUGCCGACUAGGGAUCGGAUGAUGUUAAUUUUUUAAUGACUCAUUCGGCGCCUUACGGGAAACCAAAGUGUUUGGGUUC